ACAGGGAGGACAAGGGCUGGGACCCAGGAGACCUGGCUCCUUGAUCCCUGUGGCAUCCAACCCCAGAUUCUGAUCCCAGCAAAGGACUUUUUGCAUCCCAAACUGUGCCCUAGUUUUACCCUGUGACUUGUGACCUCUGACCUUCAUUCCUGACUUAUCUUUCAGAUUUCAUUGAUAACCCUAGACCCAAUCCAAGAACCCCAACCUCUUAUCUAAACUGAUCCCUGAACUUUGACCUCCAGACUACUUUUGGCAUCCCCACCUUGCCCCAACCCAGUUGGUACCUUGGAAAGCAGUGGGCAGCCGACAGUACCCACUGCUCAGACACGAGAGAACCGCCACACACGACUUUGCCUCCUAUCCAAUCCAGCCCUUAUAAGUCUGAAGACCUUUAUAAACAAGAAAUCUGGCCAGGUGACACCCCCUUAAAUCCUUCCCUGACUUCACACUGCCCUUAAGAUAUAUCCCAGACCUCCCAUGACAGUGCCAUCCACCUGGACACUUCCUGUCAUAGACUUGGAAGCACUUAUUCACCUAUGGAACUUCGCUCUUCAAGGUCACUACCUAGGAUUCCUUUCCUCAGCCCUACUUUGCUCGGCAAAUUUCCAUUUGCCUAUGGCAGCCCCUCCUUGGCCUGCCCUGACCUGCUGCCUGAGUCAGGCGGUGCACAGAGCUCCCAGGGCUGCUUCCCUGAUACUGCCCCGUCACCACUGCUCCCUGUGCGUGCUUCACCACACAACCCGGCACUCCCACGGCCCCAGUGCCCAAAGAUGGAGCUGUGGAUGCGGCUAGUGAAGAAAGGAACAGAACAACUGGGCUCCCACCGCCUGAAGGCCACCCUACCCUCACUGAGGCUAGCAGUUUGGAACAAGACCCAGCUGCCCUUCACAAAGUCACCUUCCCAGGAGCAGAGAAAACUGCCCAGCCAGGCUCCUCCUCUCGUAAUAAUGACAAUAGCUGCUAUUUAGGAACUUUAAACAACGUGAGGCCCCGAAGGGGCUUUCACUUCCUUUAUCUUCAGGACUGCUCACACAGCCCCAGGAGAUAAACUCAAUCAGCUUCAUUUAGAGCUGAGCAGUGAGCCAAGCACACAGCAGUAAGUGGUGAAGCCGGGGCUCAGAGCUGGUGACCUGCCUUUGAAGGAAGGAGACCUUUGGUUUGUUUCCACAAAACAACUCCGGCUCUUACAGGCUGUGCCACUCACUGGCUGUGCGCCUUCGGGCACAUCACUUCUCUGCACUUCGGUUUCUUUAUCUGUAGAACUCGGGCUACCAUCCCCGUCUCACAGAGCUAUUGUGGGACUUAAGACAUUAAGGUGCGUGAGACAGCCUGGCAGAGAGAGGUCAGGCACUCAUUAAACACGCCAUGGGAAUCUGA